UAGGGAGGUUGUGGAAGGUCCAUCACUGGAGAUUUUUAAGAGCAGUUUAGAGAAACACCUGUCAGGGAUGGUCUAGACAAUAUCUAGUCCUGCCGUGAGUCCAGGGGACUGAACUAGAUGACCUCUUGAGGACUGUUUCUGUUGAG